CGGUCGGGUAGGGUGGAGGUCUCGCCAGCCUCUUUACCCGCUUGGCGUAAUGCGGGCACCAGUAACCUGCAUAUGGCCGUGCCAUUAAUGAAGGAGUCCAGAGCUUACGAUGAGGAUCGCCCAGCAGGGCUGACGCAUACAGUCUCCUCCUCCGGAGGGAGGUGGAGAACUGUAUUAGCCGGGAGAACCGACUAGGCCCGGAAGGGAGCAGUCGUACCCGGACGUCGGCGCUUGCUGGUCACCGGUCUGAGGAGACUCUGGGUAAGCUCCUCCAUUAAUGCGCGGUCAUAUGCGGGAGCCGACCU
rfam:Metallosphaera sedula DSM 5348, complete genome.